rnacentral:rRNA from 1 species
GACGAACGCUGGCGGCGUGCUUAACACAUGCAAGUCGAACGGAAAGGCCCUGCUUUUGUGGGGUGCUCGAGUGGCGAACGGGUGAGUAACACGUGAGUAACCUGCCCUUGACUUUGGGAUAACUUCAGGAAACUGGGGCUAAUACCGGAUAGGAGCUCCUGCUGCAUGGUGGGGGUUGGAAAGUUUCGGCGGUUGGGGAUGGACUCGCGGCUUAUCAGCUUGUUGGUGGGGUAGUGGCUUACCAAGGCUUUGACGGGUAGCCGGCCUGAGAGGGUGGCCGGGCACAUUGGGACUGAGAUACGGACCAGACGGCUACGGGAGGCAGCAGUGGAGAAUAUUGCGCAAUGGGCGGGAGCCUGAUGCAGCAACGCCGCGUGCGGGAUGACGGCCUUCGGGUUGUAAACCGCUUUCGCCUGUAACGAAGCGUGAGUGACGGUAAUGGGUAAAGAAGCACCGGCUAACUACGUG